UGGUCUGAUCAGAGCACCUGGGGAGUGGCGGCAGAAUGAUCAGGAGUUUUAGACCAGCCUUAACUACAUAGCAAGUAUGAAGACAGCCUAGAUGGACUACAUAAGACCUUGUGUCGGAAGGAAAAAUAAUGAGACAUAGUGCACAUGUUUAAUCCUCGCACUGGGGAAGCCUAGGCAGGUAGAUCUGAGAUGGCAGCCUGACCUGUACGUACCGACUUCCAGUCCAGCCAGGGAUGCAUACACCCAGUUUUUUUUUAAGUUACUAAUAGCUUUUCAAAGAAGUUUUUCAUAUUAGAUAAAAUUUUCUGUUACAGGAAUUAUUAUGUUAAAGUAUAAACUUAAGUGUAACAACACCAAAAGAAAAAAAAUCCAACAACAACAAAAAAAAAAAAAUGGUGAAAUCUCCCAGUAAGUUAAAAGCAAACUACUUUUAAUAAACUACUAACCCAAGGUUACUACUACAUUGUUUCUGGAAUACAACUAACUAGUGUUAUCAAAGUAGCAUAUUGAAUUAGCAUUUUAGGUAGGGAAAACAUGAUCUUUCAUAAAUGCCACUGGCAUAUAGUAAAACUUAGUGCCAGUCCUGGUGGCCUCUCAGAUGAAGUGUUGUGGCAAUAGCCUAGUCAGAGGGAAGAAGUUUAAUAGGACUCAUACUUUAUACUAUAUACCAAGUUAAGGUGGUGUUAAGGAUUUAAAAUUAGCGUUUGUUUCAAAUCACUUAAAGUAGUUUUAUUAGGUAAAGCUCAGAAUCUGUAUAAUUAAAAAAUGUAUUUUGAUUUCAUAAAAAUCAAAGUUUCUUCUAUGGCUUAAUAAAGUCAAACAAUAAAUUAGCCACAGAAGAAAACAUUUGCAACUUAGUAGCAGAUGGCUACUUUCCCUAAUACAGACAAAACCCUGUAAUACAAGAUUGACAUUUCUCUGACACCUGAAUCUUUUACCUGGAGAAUCUUACAAGUCUUCAGCUAAUUGAACUUUAUGGUGAAAUAAACACUUCUUGCUUAAACC
rnacentral:lncRNA from 1 species